GCCUCAAUGGUGGUUCCUGUCAGGACAGCGUGGGUUCCUUUUCCUGCUCUUGCCUUCCUGGCUUUGCUGGUCCACGCUGCGCUCGAGAUGUGGAUGAGUGUUUGAGCAGCCCUUGUGGCCCAGGCACCUGCAUAGAUCACGUGGCCUCCUUCACCUGUACCUGUCCACCUGGCUAUGGAGGCUUCCACUGUGAGAAGGACCUGUUGGACUGUAGCCCCAGCUCCUGCUUCAAUGGAGGUACCUGUGUGGAUGGGGUGAACUCCUUCAGCUGCUUGUGCCGUGCUGGCUACACGGGCACCCACUGCCAAUAUGAGGCUGACUCCUGCCUUUCCCGGCCCUGUUUGCAUGGGGGCAUCUGCAGUCCCACCCACUUAGGGUUUCAGUGUGCCUGCCGGGAGGGCUUCACUGGGAGUCAGUGCCAGACCCUGGUAGACUGGUGCAGCCAGGUGCCCUGUCAGAAUGGGGGUCAUUGUGUCCAGACUGGGGCCUACUGUGUCUGUCCCCUGGGAUGGAGCGGCCGCCACUGUGACAUCCAAAGCUUACCCUGCAAGGAGGCUGCAUCCCA